AAGUCGUAACAAGGUUUCCGUAGGUGAACCUGCGGAAGGAUCAUUAACACGUAUCCAACCUUAAAACCCCCCGUGCAUAUUGACGCUGCUCUCCUCGUCUCUAGAAGCAAUCUCUGGUAAAUCACGCACAAAGAUAGUUUGAUUCAGAGACCUCUUCAAUGACGCGUUUGGAUAGAUGCGGCUACGUAAGUGGACCUGGUUUCCGAAAGGAUAACUGAAUUUAAAAAAACAGGUCAUUGCUCUAACACGGGGCAAUGGACAGGUCUCUGGGGCUUCGGCUCCCCUAAAUAUUUAACCACAGCAGGUGAAUUCUGGGCUCUGCUAACACAGAACCCCUUAAAAACGAACAACUGUUAACAAUGGAUAUCUUGGUUCUC
rnacentral:misc_RNA from 1 species